rnacentral:rRNA from 1 species
UACGUAGGUGGCAAGCGUUAUCCGGAUUUAUUGGGCGUAAAGGGAACGCAGGCAGUCUUUUAAGUCUGAUGUGAAAGCCUUCGGCUUAACCGGAGUAGUGCAUUGGAAACUGGGAGACUUGAGUGCAGAAGAGGAGAGUGGAACUCCAUGUGUAGCGGUGAAAUGCGUAGAUAUAUGGAAGAACACCAGUGGCGAAAGCGGCUCUCUGGUCUGUAACUGACGCUGAGGUUCGAAAGCGUGGGUAGCAAACAGG